AAGUCGUAACAAGGUUUCCGUAGGUGAACCUGCGGAAGGAUCAUUACCAAAGAACAACUGGUUGGGUUGUUGCUGGCCCCCUCUCCCUUGGAAGGGGCACUGUGCACGCCUUGCCAAUUCACUUUGCUCACCUGUGCACCUCCUUGUAGGCCAGGAUCACCAGAGAGGAAGAAGGGGGGGGGAAACGUGUCUCCUGUCGGAGUGCUCAACUUCUUUUCUUUUGCUUGGUGGAGGGAUCUGCUGUUGUGUCCUCACACGGAAUGGGUAUCUGUGAGAGAACAGAUAUAGACGGCUUUUUCCUUGCUCACGUCUGGCCUAUGCCUUUAUUAAACCUGUAACAUCUGUAUCUGUAUGUGUAUUUGAACAUGUGGGAUAACCACGAUUGUUUUUGAACACCAAUACAACUUUCAACAACGGAUCUCUUGGCUCUC
rnacentral:misc_RNA from 1 species